rnacentral:misc_RNA from 1 species
CUUCACUGCUGUGGUUGCAAUAUUAUACGCGGCUUUUGUUAUAUUGACCGUUAUUGGUCAGGGACCUCCGGUGAAGGAUGACAGUAGCCGUACGGCCGUACAGGAGUAGGAUGAUAGAAUUUCUGGUGGCUCCAUUUCAGUUGAAGUCAUAGGACGUCUAUUGUUUGUAUUUGAUGGUCUUGUAUAUAUGUGUGUAAGAGUGGCAAUUUAAUUAUCAAUAAUAUUCUGGCC